rnacentral:rRNA from 1 species
UACGGGGGGAGCAAGCGUUGUUCGGAUUUACUGGGCGUAAGGGGCGCGUAGGCGGUCAGCACAAGUCAGUUGUGAAAUCUCCGAGCUUAACUCGGAAAGGUCAACUGAAACUGUGCGACUAGAGUGCGGAAGGGGCAACUGGAAUUCUUGGUGUAGCGGUGAAAUGCGUAGAUAUCAAGAGGAACACCUGCGGCGAAGGCGGGUUGCUGGGCCGACACUGACGCUGAAGCGCGAAAGCUAGGGGAGCGAACGGG